CCAUCGGAAACGCAGGCAACGGCACGUGCCGAAGCUCCGCCAGGGUUGUGCACAAUGCAAGGCUGGAGACCCUCAGACCAAACCUUUGUGAUAGCACCCAGGAGCUUUACUCCCGCUGUAGUCAACGAGAAUCCGACACGCUAACAGCUUCGUGGAUCUGGGUGUUAGAAGAUGCUGCUGCACCCACCACCUCGGCUCACCCCCGAGUCCCCGGCAUGUCUGGCACGCUAUGGCUGGCCUCAGGUUUCUUGAAAGGCUUGUGAUUUUCUGCCCCGAGUUGCCAUCCAAAUGAAGAUGCUGGCUGCAGAAAGACUGAGCAAGGUUUCGUGUCCACCUCAGCCCUCCCCAGGAGUGAGCUUUGCCCCUGCCUGAGCUCAGCCAGGUAGGUGCAGCCUGCAGGGGAGCAAUGGGAGCCUACCGUGACCUCAGGGAGGGGUGAGCACUGACCCACUGGUCAGAGGAACAGGAGGAGCCACACACACAGCCUUCUCCUGUAAUGGGUGGCUAUACUCAGAGCUGUAUUUCUGGAGCUACUUUCCUACCCACUGCCCUUGGUGCUGAGACACUCAGUUCCCAUCUCAUGUAUCCCUGCUUUCUUCCAGUUAAGCAUCCAGCUUCUCUGCACAACAGCACAGACCCUGGAAGUUCCAGCUCCUGCUGUGUCUCCCAGGCUGUUAAAGGAUCACAGCAGGCCUAAGACAGGCUGGCGAGUCAAAUGGCCCUUCAUUCCCACACAGUUUAAUCAGCAAGUCCCAACAAGGUGGAUGUUAUCUCCCAAAGGCAUGGAGAAGACCUUGGAGCUGUACUUAGUUCAGAGAACCACUUCAGAAGAUAAAACCCCAAGAGAAAUAAGAGACAAAACACACUUAAGUCAAAACCAGUAGUUCUACCUGUUUAGACUGUAGCACACACUGCAGCAUAACCCUGGCAUCAGGCUAAACAGAAACAGCAUCAGUGAAGCCAGCCAAGCUCUCCAGGUGCUUGAAAUUAUACAAGUGCUUAAGAAUUUAACUGAGAAAAGCACAUAAGGAACACAAGUGGUGUCAGCCUGAGCAUAAUGAAUAUAUAAUAAAUUCUACAGAAGCACUCAUUUUUAUUAUGUUUCAAAAGAGGUCUGUGCUCUUAUUUGCAAGCAGUUCCAAUCCUGAUAAUGGAUGUG